rnacentral:rRNA from 1 species
CACGUAGGGGGCGAGCGUUGUCCGGAUUUAUUGGGCGUAAAGAGCUCGUAGGCGGUUCGGUAAGUCAGAUGUGAAAGUCCAGGGCUCAACCCUGGGAAGCCAUCUGAUACUGCCGUGACUUGAGUCCGGUAGGGGAGCGUGGAAUUCCUGGUGUAGCGGUGAAAUGCGCAGAUAUCAGGAGGAACACCAGCGGCGAAGGCGGCGCUCUGGGCCGGUACUGACGCUGAGGAGCGAAAGCGUGGGGAGCGAACAGG